GGCACUGGGGUGUCCCUUGUCCCCAGGAACACUGCGGGUGUCCCAUGUCCCACUGCGGUGUCCUGUGUCCCUUGUCCCUGAGGGUGCCAAGGUGUCCCUUGUCCCUGGUGGCACCACAGCAUCCCCUGGGUCCCAAAGGCCACCAGAGUGUCCCAUGUCCCUGAGGAACAACAGUGUCCCAUGUCCAGUCCAUACCAAUGUCCCAUAUCCCAAAGGCCACCAGAGUGUCCCAUGUCCCUGAAGGCCACCAGAGUUUCCCACAUCCCCGAGGGCCACCAGAGUGUCCCAUGUCCCGGUCAAUACCCAUGUCCCAUGUCCCAAAGGCCACCACAUUUCCUAUGUCCCUGAGAGCCCCCAGAGUGUCCCAUGUCCCUGAGAGCCACCAGAGUGUCCCAUGUCCCAAAAACCACCAGUGUCCCAUGUCCCUGAGGGCCACCAGAGUGUCCCAUGUCCCAAAAACCACCAGUGUCCCAUGUCCCUGAGGGCCACCAGAGUGUCCCAUGUCCCAAAAACCACCAGUGUCCCAUGUCCCUGAGGGCCACCAGAGUGUCCCAUGUCCC